AUAUCUGAUGAAACACUUGCUAUGUUCUAUCCACCUCUUCAAUGUCAUCGUCGCUGCUCCAUCUAGGCCUCAAAUGGCGUUCUCCAUGCCGAUGUUCCUUCACUUUUGUUUCUUUUUCUCUUCUUAUGUUUCCUGUGAACAAAGGUCUCUGAUGACGUGGUCAAUGGAUUCAAUUGACUGAUUUCAAAUUUUGAAAUCAUCCAUUUCUCUCCGUUCAUGAUGCUGACUGCUCUUGAAUUAAAAAAAAUACUAAUAUGGUGAUUCCUUCUCUUCUUGUCUGCUACUCACCUAUUUUGAAUGUCUGAUCUACAACAUUUCCUUUCAAACCUUUAAUUAGGAACGAGAAGGAGUUGAUUGAUUUUGCACUCCUAAAAUUUGGUGCAAUGCUCAUUUGUCGACAGCCUAUGUAUCCACAAACAUUCAAAGUUCAAAUUUUCAUCGUCAAUCGAGGGAGCCAUCCAUGAACUUGGGCAUUGCCAAAUUUCUUGGUUUUCAACAAUUACUGUGCAGUUUGUUACUAUGUUUGUGAUGGUGUUAUUUCCAGCUUUUCUGUUG